rnacentral:rRNA from 1 species
AGAGUUUGAUCCUGGCUCAGAUUGAACGCUGGCGGUAUGCUUAACACAUGCAAGUCGAACGGAAACGAUACUAGCUUGCUAGUAGGCGUCGAGUGGCGGACGGGUGAGUAACGCGUAGGAAUCUACCUAAUAGUGGGGGAUAGCCCGGAGAAAUCCGGAUUAAUACCGCAUAAUCUCUAUGGAGUAAAGGGGCCCUCUUCUUGAAAGGUUUCGCUAUCAGAUGAGCCUGCGUAAGAUUAGCUAGUUGGUGAGGUAAAAGCUCACCAAGGCGACGAUCUUUAGCUGGUCUGAGAGGAUGAUCAGCCACACUGGGACUGAGACACGGCCCAGACUCCUACGGGAGGCAGCAGUGGGGAAUAUUGGACAAUGGGGGCAACCCUGAUCCAGCAAUACCGCGUGUGUGAAGAAGGCCUGAGGGUUGUAAAGCACUUUCAAUUGUGAAGAAAAGUUAAUAGUCAAUAACUAUUAGCCUUGACGNUAACUUUAGAAGAA